AGUCAACAUGCCCAGGGGACGUGGAUAACCUCGGGAAACUGAGGAUAAACCGCGAUAAGUCACUACUUCUGGAAUGGGUAAUGACUUAAAUCUAUAUGGCCCCUGGAUUGGACUGCGGCCGAUCAGGCUGUUGGUGAGGUAAUGGCCCACCAAACCUGUAACCGGUACGGGCUCUGAGAGGAGGAGCCCGGAGAUGGGCACUGAGACAAGGGCCCAGGCCCUAUGGGGCGCAGCAGGCGCGAAACCUCUGCAAUAGGCGAAAGCCUGACAGGGUUACUCUGAGUGAUUUCCGUUAAGGAGAUCUUUUGGCACCUCUAAAAAUGGUGCAGAAUAAGGGGUGGGCAAGUCUGGUGUCAGCCGCCGCGGUAAUACCAGCACCCCGAGUGGUCGGGACGUUUAUUGGGCCUAAAGCAUCCGUAGCCGGUUCCACAAGUCUUCCGUUAAAUCCACCUGCUUAACAGAUGGGCUGCGGAAGAUACUAUGGAGCUAGGAGGCGGGAGAGGCAAGCGGUACUCGAUGGGUAGGGGUAAAAUCCGUUGAUCCAUUGAAGACCACCAGUGGCGAAGGCGGCUUGCCAGAACGCGCUCGACGGUGAGGGAUGAAAGCUGGGGGAGCAAACCGGAUUAGAUACCCGGGUAGUCCCAGCUGUAAACGAUGCAGACUCGGUGAUGAAUUGGCUUCAUGCCAAUUCAGUGCCGCAGGGAAGCCGUUAAGUUUGCCGCCUGGGGAGUACGGUCGCAAGACUGAAACUUAA
rnacentral:rRNA from 1 species